UACGUAGGUGGCAAGCGUUGUCCGGAUUUACUGGGCGUAAAGCGCGCGCAGGUGGCUUGCCAAGUCUGGGGUGAAAUCUCCCGGCUCAACCGGGAGAGGUCUCCGGAUACUGGUGGGCUUGAGGGAGGCAGAGGAGAGUGGAAUUCCCGGUGUAGCGGUGAUAUGCGUAGAUAUCGGGAGGAACACCAGUGGCGAAGGCGACUCUCUGGGCCUCUCCUGACGCUGAGGCGCGAAAGCGUGGGGAGCAAACCGG
rnacentral:rRNA from 1 species